rnacentral:rRNA from 1 species
CAGGUGGUGCAUGGUUGUCGUCAGCUCGUGUCGUGAGAUGUUGGGUUAAGUCCCGCAACGAGCGCAACCCUUGUCUUUAGUUGCCAUCAUUAAGUUGGGCACUCUAGAGAGACUGCCAGGGAUAACCUGGAGGAAGGUGGGGAUGACGUCAAAUCAUCAUGCCCCUUAUGCUUAGGGCUACACACGUGCUACAAUGGGUAGUACAGAGGGUUGCCAAGCCGUAAGGUGGAGCUAAUCCCUUAAAGCUACUCUCAGUUCGGAUUGUAGGCUGAAACUCGCCUACAUGAAGCUGGAGUUACUAGUAAUCGCAGAUCAGAAUGCUGCGGUGAAUGCGUUCCCGGGUCUUGUAC